rnacentral:rRNA from 1 species
GAUGGAAAGAGGAAGACUGCAUGGGUGUCGUGGGAUGAUUUGACCAUACCCAAAUACAUGGAGGGCUUGGGCUUCCGGGAUACUGAACUGUUUAACCUAGCCAUGUUAGCAAAGUAGGGAUGGAGAAUCUUACAAGAGCCGACCUCAUUAAGCGCUAGACUUCUUAAAGCAAAGUAUUUUUCCUUUGGUUGA